AAAAUGAUUAGCUGAGCAUGCAUCCACAGAAUGAAUAAAACUCAUGCUGUUGAAUGCAAGAUCAAGAACUGUUGAAUUUUGACCUCAGCACUGAUCUUCUGCUCUACCCUGACCUGCAUUAAGAAAAUCGGAUCAGAUGAUGCCAGCUAGACAAACUCAGUCCACUGGGUUUGAAAAGGCAGGGAGAGAAGGUUCCAUGGCUUGCUUUAUUCAUUUACAUUAAGAAUUUGUGCUUGCAACUAAUUUGAGAAAAUAUCUUCCAGAGGGGACUAGUUGUUGAGACAAGCUAUUCAC
rnacentral:lncRNA from 1 species